rnacentral:piRNA from 1 species
UACUCAUGAGGGAGAGAAAGUAAUGUCCAUC